GAAAUUGUUUCAUGGUUUGCCCAAACUAUAAUAUAUCUUUGCCUAUGUCAUAACCAUGAAAUACACAAGUUUAUGCUUAAAAUUUUAAUUUAGAAUGACUUGUGAGAAGCUACGAAUUCUUGGGCAUAAUGAAAAUAGUGUUUGCAUGAUAUACCUCUAUACGAUACAUUUCAUUAUUUCUUUAUUCUGCUCUUUCAUGUAGAUUACUUGAGAACAACAAAAAGAGAGAGAGAUAAAGAAA
rnacentral:lncRNA from 1 species